AAACCAGCACCUCAAGUGGUCAGGAUGAUUAUUGGGCCUAAAGCAUCCGUAGCCUGCUUUGUAAGUUUUCGGUUAAAUCCAUACGCUCAACGUAUGGGCUGCCGGAAAUACUGCAAAGCUAGGGAGUGGGAGAGGUAGACGGUACUCGGGAGGAAGGGGUAAAAUCCUUUGAUCUAUUGAGGACCACCUGUGGCGAAGGCGGUCUACCAGAACACGUUCGACGGUGAGGGAUGAAAGCUGGGGGAGCAAACCGGAUUAGAAACCCCAGUAGUCC
rnacentral:rRNA from 1 species